rnacentral:rRNA from 1 species
UACGUAGGGUGCGAGCGUUAAUCGGAAUUACUGGGCGUAAAGCGUGCGCAGGCGGUCCGCAAAGUCUGAUGUGAAAGCCCCGGGCUUAACCUGGGAACUGCAUUUGUGACUGCACGGCUGGAGUGCGGCAGAGGGGGAUGGAAUUCCGCGUGUAGCAGUGAAAUGCGUAGAUAUGCGGAGGAACACCGAUGGCGAAGGCAAUCCCCUGGGCCUGCACUGACGCUCAUGCACGAAAGCGUGGGGAGCAAACAGG